rnacentral:rRNA from 1 species
GACGAACGCUGGCGGCGUGCUUAACACAUGCAAGUCGAACGAAGUGGCGAACGGGUGAGUAACGCGUAAUCAACCUGCCCUUCAGAGGGGGACAACAGUUGGAAACGACUGCUAAUACCGCAUACUGAAGGAGGGGAUUGCGUCUGAUUAGCUCGUUGGAGGGGUAACGGCCCACCAAGGCGAUGAUCAGUAGCCGGGCUGGGAGGGUGAGCGGCGACAUUGGGACUGAGACACGGCCCAGACUCCUACGGGAAGCAGCAGUAGGGAAUCUUCCGCAAUGGACGAAAGUCUUACGGAGCAACGCCGCGUGAGUGAUGACGUCCUUCGGGUUGUAAAUCUCUGUUAAUCGGGACGCGGUACCGGAAUAGAAAGCCACGGCUAACUACGUGCCAGCAGCCGCGGUAAUAC